rnacentral:rRNA from 1 species
UGAGAUGGCCUCUCGCCCUAUUCAGUGUAACAGCUGUGGUAGUGGGUUUGGUCGCUCGCAUUUAAAUUGGAAGGGUAAUGGUGGACCGCACUUCUCCCUUAGUAGGACGUUGCGACCUGUCAAAUAAUAUCCUAAGUAUUUGGCUAAUUUGUCUGUUUUUAGGCAGUACUGAAAGGUAUUUCCUUUAACAGUUUUAGCCGUUUACAUACUGGAUAUAAUUGACAGUAACAAAUCAUGGUGUUGAGCCACUUACUUUGUAAGUGUCCUUUAUGGCUGUUUGCAAGUGGGUUGGUUAAUUAGUUUUAGUCGGAUUUUGGUCCGUCUAACUAUUCCGCCUACUGUUGGUAAACUGUUCCUUGGACAGUGCUUAUAACACCGGUCGGCAGCGAUUCAGGUUCAGGCUCUUAUCCGACCCGUCUUGAAACACGGACCAAGGAGUUUAGCGUGUACGCAAGUCAUUGGGUGUAUAAAACCCAAAGG